rnacentral:rRNA from 1 species
GCAUGGGAUAAUGGAAUAGGACCCUGACCUCCUAUUUUCAGUUGGUUUUGUUUACAGCGAGGUUAUAUCAGGGUAAUGAUUAAUAGGGAUAGUUGGGGGCAUUAAUAUUUAAUUGUCAGAGGUGAAAUUCUUGGAUUUAUGAAAGAUUAACUUCUGCGAAAGCGUUUGCCAAGGAUGUUUUCAUUAAUCAAGAACGAAAGUUAGGGGAUCGAAGACGAUCAGAUACCGUCGUAGUCUUAACCAUAAACGAUGCCGACCAGCGAUUAGGAGACGUUGAAUACAAAACACCGCUGUUAAUCCUUUCGGGGGUUAAUAGUUGGUGAAUGACUCCCUAGCG